rnacentral:ribozyme from 1 species
CACCAGAGAAUCGCUGGACUUCGAAAAGUUAUGCCAUGCAGGCCAUGGACUUUCUUUAUUAGUGACAGCAACAGAUGAAC